UCGUAGCUCAGCUGGAUAGAGUACCUGGCUACGAACCAGGCGGUCAGAGGUUCGAAUCCUCUCGG
rnacentral:tRNA from 1 species